UACGUAGGGUGCGAGCGUUGUCCGGAAUUACUGGGCGUAAAGAGCUCGUAGGUGGUUUGUCGCGUUGUUCGUGAAAACCGGGGGCUUAACCCUCGGCGUGCGGGCGAUACGGGCAGACUUGAGUACUGCAGGGGAGACUGGAAUUCCUGGUGUAGCGGUGAAAUGCGCAGAUAUCAGGAAGAACACCUAUGGCGAAGGCAGCUCUCUGGGACGGUACUGACGCUGAGACGCGAAAGCGUGGGGAGCGAACAGG
rnacentral:rRNA from 1 species